GGCGGACCUGCCGGCGGGCUGUCCCCACGGCCGCACCCUGCGCCCUUCCUCGGCCGCGCCGUCCUCCGGCCGCCCGACGCCGAGACCCCGCGCUGCGGCCACCGAGUUUAUAUUUUAAAAGAAGCAAGUACUCAUUGUAAAAAGCGAAACAACUCAAAGAUUCAUGAAGGCCCUCCUCCUGCAAGGUCACCCGUGUCAACUGCCAAAUGGAUUCCUGGCUCAUCCCUCAGCUCAUCGUAACAGCUGAUACCAGGAAAAUGGGAGGUCUGGGAUGGCGAGCGUGGCCUCUGGCGUGGCGACCGGCACAGCUGGCGACACCGGCUGCCAAGCCUCGCCCUCCCUCCGGAGAACAGAACCGAACAGCACAGCAGCUUCCUUCCCAGCCGGCAGCCCUGCUCAAGAGGGCAAUUUAAAUUUUCUUACAAAAAAAAAAAA